ensembl:snRNA U6 U6 spliceosomal RNA
GUGGUGUCGGUAGCAUGUAUACUAAGAUUGGAACGAUCCAGAGAAGAUUAGCAUGGCCCUUGCUCAAGGGUGACACACAGUUAAAGUGGUAGUAGAAUGCGUUU